UACGUAGGGUGCGAGCGUUGUCCGGAAUCAUUGGGCGUAAAGAGCGUGUAGGCGGCCCGAUAAAGUCCGGCUGUGAAAGUCCAGGGCUCAACCCUGGGAUGCCGGUGGAUACUGUCGGGCUCGAGUCCGGAAGAGGAGUGUGGAAUUCCGUGGUGUAGCGGUGAAAUGCGCAGAUAUCAGGAGGAACACCUGAGGUGAAGACGGGUUGCUAGGCUGACACUGACGUGAGGCGCGAAAGCGUGGGGAGCGAACAGG
rnacentral:rRNA from 1 species